UUUUAGACAAUGCCUGGUAACAGCCUACCAAUAAGACUGAAACUAUUUGGAGAGGUUCAUUGUGUUGGUUCACUCACUGUGACUUCCCGGAGCCUCUGGGAUAAAGUUCAAGUUCAUCAGCAUAGCAUUUGAGGCCCUUCCCAGACUGGCUCUACCUGCUCAGGUGGUAUGCCCCUCUGUGUCAGCUUCCCAGGUGGGAUGGGGUAUAUUACCAGGCACAAGAUCUCUAUGGAUAGAAGGACUGAGGAGUGUUGACUGGAAGAUAUGAGACCUCAUCCAGACCUUACACAUGGAUGUGUAGACACUUCUGGGCAAAAGAAAGAAUCAGAAGCUCUCCCAUGUGGAGGACCUCAUAGAUCAAAUGUCAUGUCAUUUCAUGGAAAAGCUCCAGAGCAGACCAGCAAGCCAGCAGACCAGCGGACAGAAGGCAGAACAACACAGCAGAGAAAGGGAGAAGAGGAGGAACAUCUGAACACCGAGAGGAGUUCGUCUGGGGGUGGUGGGAGAGGAAUCCGGCUGCUGGACAACCCAGCUCCAGGGGAGGAUCGCCUUCACACUCCAUCCCCCACUUCCGGCUCCCCAUUCAUCUCACUGAAAGCCACCUCCACCACUCAAUAAAACUUUGCCUUCAU
rnacentral:lncRNA from 1 species